rnacentral:lncRNA from 1 species
GAUUGGGAGCACACUUAAAAAUCCUCUUACUACACAACUGACAAUUAAAUUCAACUUGUAACACUUAAAUAAUUUUGUUCUAACAUGGACAAGAAGAUUGAACAAAGUGUACUUGGGAAGAGUAAAUAUAAGUAUUGAUUCUGGUUAAGGUAAAGGUCGAGGCCAUGUUUUAUUUUGUAUUUAUUGAGCUGAGUGGGGAUGAAUAUAAAUUAAUGUUAUUUCAUUUAUACUGUACCUGUGUGCUGGUAGAAAUUGACAUCGACUGUCUUUUUGGAACUAACUGACCACAUUUCACCAAUAAUAGAAAGUCUCUCUAUAUUGGUGAAAUGUGGUCAGUUAGUUCCAACACUGUGGCCCUUGGAAAACGGUAGCACUUUAUCUCCUCUGCAUCUGACAGUAUACAAAACUAGAGGUUUUGUGCGGUCUUGAAAUAUUCUUUCUCUUAAGUGGCAUCUCAUAAAUAAAAUAUGGAACGCUGCAGCCAUUUUGUAAAAACCUAAGAUAAUAGUAAGAGUGGUAGUAAGUAUUUUGUGAACUCUAAAAUGUGGGUAGAGCACUCUUAGGUUGAGGAUCAAAUUGAAUGUUGGUCAGAAGUUUUGAAUUAGGAUUUUUUGUGAAAUUGGUGUAUGACUUAAAACUUGUCUUAAAUAUGAUCUUACACUUACGAUGUUUUGUGAAAUUGGACAUAGGAUUUUGAAAAGAGGGG